GUGGGGCUGUGGGUCACAGUGGGCGCUGUGGGUCACUGUGGGGCUGUGGGUCACAGUGGGGCUGUGGGUCACUUGGGCGCUGUGGGUCACUGUGGGUCCGGGUCGGUUGGAGCACAGAACGAACAUCGGCGGCCCCAAUGGCAGCGCUGCACCCCAUGCGCUGCCCGCAGCUCAGCUCUGCGGCCUCUCCUCCCCCACGCGUGGCGCCGCUCUGUGCCUUUGCUCGGGGAGCACUGCGCGGCCUCAGCGUGACGGGCAAAACCGCC
rnacentral:lncRNA from 1 species